AGCAUAACUUUGCUUGCUAAGUUGAUGGCGACCGGCGCACGGGUGAGUAACACGUAUCCACCUGCCGAUGACUCGGGGAUAGCCUUUCGAAAGAAAGAUUAAUACCCGAUGGCUCCGCAUGGUUAAAGAAUUUCGGUCAUCGAUGGGGAUGCGUUCCAUUAGGUUGUUGGCGGGGUAACGGCCCACCAAGCCUUCGAUGGAUAGGGGUUCUGAGAGGAAGGUCCCCCACAUUGGAACUGAGACACGGUCCAAACUCCUACGGGAGGCAGCAGUGAGGAAUAUUGGUCAAUGGACGAGAGUCUGAACCAGCCAAGUAGCGUGAAGGAUGACUGCCUAUGGGUUGUAAACUUCUUUUAUACGGGAAUAAGUGAGGCACGCGUGCCUUUUUGUAUGUACCGUAUGAAUAAGGAUCGGCUAACUCCGUGCCAGCAGCCGCGGUAAUACGGAGGAUCCGAGCGUUAUCCGGAUUUAUUGGGUUUAAAGGGAGCGUAGGCGGACGCUUAAGUCAGUUGUGAAAGUUUGCGGCUCAACCGUAAAAUUGCAGUUGAUACUGGGUGUCUUGAGUACAGUAGAGGCAGGCGGAAUUCGUGGUGUAGCGGUGAAAUGCUUAGAUAUCACGAAGAACUCCGAUUGCGAAGGCAGCCUGCUGGACUGUAACUGACGCUGAUGCUCGAAAGUGUGGGUAUCAAACAGGAUUAGAUACCCUGGUAG
rnacentral:rRNA from 1 species